AUUUUUAAAUCCCAAAUAAUAGUUUUUAAUCACAAAAAAAGUUGUAUAGAUAUUAAAAAAUGUUUUGUAAAAUCCAAAAAAUCGAAUUUAUAUACAAAAAUUUUUUUGUAAAAUCCAAAAAAUCGAAUUUAUAUACAAAAUUUUUUUUGUAAAAUCCAAAAAAUCGAAUUUAUAUACAAAAUUUUUUUUGUAAAAUCCAAAAAAUCGAAUUUAUAUAGAAAAAUCGUUUUGUAAAAUACAAAAAUCGAUUUUAUAUACUAAAAUCGAUUUUCUAAAUACAAAAAAAUAAAAAAAUAAUAAAAAAAUUAUAAAUCAAUUCAACAAAACAAAUUAUUCAACCAAAUCACAAUUCUAAACAUAUUAUACAACCAAAAAUCACAAUCCUAACCAAUCACCUUAACAAAAAUCUAUCAAAAC
rnacentral:lncRNA from 1 species